rnacentral:rRNA from 1 species
AUACGGAGGAUGCGAGCGUUAUCCGGAUUCAUUGGGGUUUAAAGGGUGCGUAGGCGGACUAUUAAGUCAGUGGUGAAAUCCUGCAGCUUAACUGCAGAACUGGCCAUUGAUACUGAUAGCCUUGAGUUUGGUUAAGGUAGGCGGAAUGUGUAAUGUAGCGGUGAAAUGCUUAGAUAUUACACAGAACACCAAUUGCGUAGGCAGCUUACUGAGCCGACACUGACGCUGAGGCACGAAAGCGUGGGGAUC